AGAACAAGUAUAGCACAAGCAGUGGCAGUCCAAGUUUUUGCUACCAGACUCUAACCAGUGUAUCAGAAAGGGAUCUUCUUUAGAGCAAAGAUGCUGGUUGCAACAAUAAUUUUUCUGAGAGGAACCUGCCCACGAGGACCUGGACUGAGUUUACGAGCCAACCUAUUUCAUAUGAGCUCCAGUAGAGAUGACAAAGGCAUGGAGCGACGUAGAGAUCCAUUGUGUUGACUGCUGGAGAUGACGUACUUUAAAUUAUAGGUUUUUGCUGGGGUGACCUGGAACUAAGCAGAAUGCUUGCUGGAUGAAGUCAACACUGAAGAUGUUCUUGAUUAUGUUACAGAAUGCCACAGCCUCUGAAUAUAGACAAGGAGUAUGGAGAACCAGGAGACUGGAACACAAAUAAAGUAUAUUCCAGAACAGGUUUAAAAUAGAAAAAUAUUUUAUCUGGCCAGACAUAAAUUCAGAGUUUACUUCUGUAGAAACCCAAUGCCCAGACAUCUUAUUCUUUUAACAGCUUCAUUUUCAAUAGGUAUUUAUUUAUGAGUAUGGCUAGAUUGGGUUACCACUAAUGCUUCCUACUUCUGCAGAAAAAAAGAUAUUUCUUCUCAGGUAGAUUGUGUGAAUAGCUCAAGUUAUGACUGUGAAUAACUUCUGUUCCACAGGGGAUAUAUUCAUUGGAUAGGUCUACUGGCUUAAUUAUAUAGAGUAAUUUAUAUGCUCCUUUAUAACCAGGGCAGUCAUAUAUUGUGCAGUAUUCAGAACAAAUAGUGAUCUUGUGCAUGUUGCAGUUUUCAAGGAAUCAUUUCUGAUAGGAUCACAGACCUCAGAGAAGGCCAAGUAGUGUGCAUAUAGAAAGAAAAGUUCCCAAAGGCGUCUGCUGCUUUAUUUGAGUGAUUCCUGCCCCAUCCUGUCUUUCCUUUUACUGAUCACCCCCACCCAAGAGUACUGAUGCUGGUGGAAUGCCCAGAAUAUGCAGUCUGACUAUGUAAUGUUAAGAGACAAUCUGGAAUAAGGGAUUUUGUCAGCUGUUGCUUGGAGGAAUAAAAAAUAAAUUUGAAUCUUGAAUGUUACACUGUUACUUA